rnacentral:rRNA from 1 species
UACGAAGGGGGCAAGCGUUGUUCGGAAUCACUGGGCGUAAAGCGCGCGUAGGCGGACCGAUAAGUUGGGGGUGAAAGCCCAGGGCUCAACCCUGAAACUGACUUCAAUACUGUCGGGCUCGAGUUCGGGAGAGGUGAGUGGAAUUCCUAGUGUAGAGGUGAAAUUCGUAGAUAUUAGGAAGAACACCAGUGGCGAAGGCGGCUCACUGGCCCGAUACUGACGCUGAGGUGCGAAAGCGUGGCGGGCAAACAGG